rnacentral:rRNA from 1 species
UACGAAGGGGGCUAGCGUUGCUCGGAAUGACUGGGCGUAAAGGGCGCGUAGGCGGUUUGUACAGUCAGGUGUGAAAUUCCCGGGCUCAACCUGGGGGCUGCACUUGAUACGUAGGAACUGGAGUGGGGAAGAGGGUCGUGGAAUUCCCAGUGUAGAGGUGAAAUUCGUAGAUAUUGGGAAGAACACCGGUGGCGAAGGCGGCGACCUGGUCCUUGACUGACGCUGAGGCGCGAAAGCGUGGGGAGCAGACAGG